AAUUUUAUUCAUACUGUAAAAUCCAAGGCACACGAUCCUAUCUGAUCUUGGAAGUUAAGCAGGGUCAAGUCUGGUUAGUACCUAGGAGGAGAUCACCAAGGAACUAAGUGCUGCAAGCU
rnacentral:rRNA from 11 species